GCUUUGGCUGAAGAAGCUCAAAGAUGUAGCUUAUGAUGCUGAAGACGUGUUUGAUGAGUUAGCCUACGAGGAUCUUUGACGAAAGGUUCAGAUGCAAGAACAACUAGGGAGGGAGCUUUGAAAUCAGGACAUUUCGUUGUGGUUGCUCAUGUUUAUCUUGAUUUCUUUCUAUGAAGAUUGCUUCUUUCGGAAUCUUGGGACGAGAAAAUGUUGGUAGGCACUCCUCUACAAUAAAACAUUUUGAGAGAAUAGAAGAUAGUUUUGGAUGCACAGCCAUUAUAUCUUCUGGAAUUUUCCGCAUUCAUUAGACAUCGCUGGGAAAACCAAAAUGGGAACAGAUUGAUAAGCAGUGUUACUCUUGCUUUCAUCAACCAACAAGAACUUCAAAUCACAGCUUGGGCUCUUUGCCAUCAUGAAGUUUUGGAGAUUAUGGCCAGUAAUUAUCUCUCAGAGGGACUUUCUGGUAAAAUUUCAAGUUGAAGCAGUAAUAGAAAAAACAUUUCUGAUGAUUUGGACAGUUCAAGCUUUGAGCUGAAUACUGACGGAAGGACCAACUGAACUUUCUUUGCAAUUGGAACCGUUAGAAGAUGGAACAUGACUUAUUGAUAGUGCACAACUGGCUUUUUCUGUUGCAGUUCUUUACGGGCCUUGAAGGGAAUUUUCAUUAUCAAUUUCUUUCUUCACUUGUACUGGCCUAUGCUUUGAACCUAGUUUUUGCACCUUUUCAGGAUAAUCUUGAUCCUCAAUUACUUAUCUAUAUGUUUAUAAAUUCCUACUUCUUACAUUUGAAUCUUGAAAUACAUACAUUUAAAACUUCACCUCUAGAAAAAGUUAGCAUAUAUUAUACUGAGCAGAUUGAAAUGAAUUAUCUCAUCUCCUCUGUUUG
rnacentral:misc_RNA from 1 species